rnacentral:rRNA from 1 species
UGGCCUACCAAGACGAUGAUGUGUAGCUGGACUGAGAGGUUGAACAGCCACAUUGGGACUGAGACACGGCCCAAACUCCUACGGGAGGCAGCAGUAGGGAAUUUUCGGCAAUGGAGGAAACUCUGACCGAGCAACGCCGCGUGAAUGACGAAGUACUUCGGUAUGUAAAGUUCUUUUAUCAAGGAAGAAAAGCAAAUGGCGAACCAUUUGUUUGCCGGUACUUGAUGAAUAAGCCCCGGCUAAUUAUGUGCCAGCAGCCGCGGUAAGACAUAAGGGGCAAGUGUUAUCCGGAAUUAUUGGGCGUAAAGGGUGCGUAGGCGGUCUAGUAAGUCAGUGGUGUAAUGGCAACGCUUAACGUUGUCCGGCUAUUGAAACUGCUAAACUUGAGUUAGAUAGAGGCGAGUGGAAUUCCAUGUGUAGCGGUAAAAUGCGUAAAUAUAUGGAGGAACACCAGAGGCGUAGGCGGCUCGCUGGGUCUUAACUGACGCUGAGGCACGAAAGCGUGGGGAGCAAACAGGAUUAGAUACCCUGGUAGUCCACGCCGUAAACGAUGAGUACUAAGUGUCGGGUUAAACCGGUACUGAAGUUAACACAUUAAGUACUCCGCCUGAGUAGUACGUACGCAAGUAUGAAACUUAAAGGAAUUGACGGGACUCCGCACAAGCGGUGGAUCAUGUUGUUUAAUUCGAAGAUACCCGAAAAACCUUACCAGGUCUUGACAUGUUUUUGCAAAAUGAUAGUAAUAUCGUGGAGGUUACCAGAAACACAGGUGGUGCAUGGUUGUCGUCAGCUCGUGUCGUGAGAUGUUAGGUUAAGUCCUAAAACGAGCGAAACCCUUAUCGUUAGUUGCCAGCACGUUAUGGUGGGGACUUUAACGAGACUGCCAAUGAUAAAUUGGAGGAAGGUGAGGAUCACGUCAAAUCAGCAUGCCCCUUAUGACCUGGGCUACAAACGUGAUACAAUGGCUGUUACAAAGGGUAGCUGAAACGCAAGUUCUUGGCCAAUCCCCAAAAACAGUCCCAGUCCGGAUUGAAGUCUGCAACUCGACUUCAUGAAGUUGGAAUCGCUA